rnacentral:tRNA from 1 species
GGAGACAUGGCUCAGGGAUAGAGCGUGUGCCUAGAAAGCAUAAGGCUCUGAGUUCAAAUUCAGUAUCACCA